rnacentral:rRNA from 1 species
UACGGAGGGAGCUAGCGUUGUUCGGAAUUACUGGGCGUAAAGCGUGCGUAGGCGGUGACUCAAGUCAGAGGUGAAAGCCCGGGGCUCAACCCCAGAACUGCCUUUGAAACUAGGUCGCUAGAAUCUUGGAGAGGUUAGUGGAAUUCCGAGUGUAGAGGUGAAAUUCGUAGAUAUUCGGAAGAACACCAGUGGCGAAGGCGACUAACUGGACAAGCAUUGACGCCGAGGCACGAAAGCGUGGGGAGCAAACAGG